rnacentral:rRNA from 1 species
GACAGAGGUCUCGAGCGUUAGGCGGAAUCACUGGGCUUAAAGGGCGCGUAGGCGGCCUGGCAAGUGGAAGGUGAAAUCCCUCGGCUUAACCGAGGAACUGCCCUCCAAACUGCUUGGCUUGAGUCCGGGAGAGGUGAGUGGAAUUCCCAGUGUAGCGGUGAAAUGCGUAGAUAUUGGGAGGAACACCAGUGGCGAAGGCGGCUCACUGGACCGGAACUGACGCUGAGGCGCGAAAGCGUGGGGAGCAAACGGG